UUUAAAGGAAGGCGGAGAUGAGCGAGCGGAAGCAAACCGAGAGAUCUCGUCAACAGCUCUGUUGCUUUCUUGGUUUCCGAAAGCUUCUCCUCUCUCUCGAUCUCUCCGCUCCAUCUUUCUUCGGCUUCUCUCUUGGUUUCGAUCGGUGAUUUCUCAUCUUUGUCGUCUUCUUUUUGGGAUUGGGUGGUUGAGAUCUGGAAGUUCUGCGUGUUCGGUUGGAUCCCGUAAGGGUUUUCGUUCUUGAACCGGUUUGCUUGAUCUUAGGGUGUACGGGUUGUUGAUCUUUGGAAUUUGAUCGAACGCUCUCUCUUGUCUCUUUGUUAAUUUUGGGUCUCGGAUUCUUGUUUCUUUAUCUUCCUUUUCCGGAUUCCAUUUCAUGAGGAAUCUUUUUUGGUGGUUUGAGGGUUUCCAAAGAAUCUUGGGUCGAUGGAACUCCAAGUUUACAGAUCGCAUGCGUUAAGGCUGUGGAUUAUGAUGAGAUUUGUGGGUUCCAGCGUUCUUGCGUGGGCGUCGUUGGUUGACAACGAGAGAGAGCACGCCGGUUCGCAAGCUAUGGCGGCGGUCAUGGUUGUGCACUAGCGUGCUCCUUCUCGUUGUCACACGCGGUCGCCUCACAAGGCAGCUUCUCCUGCUCGCCCUCUUUUUCUUCCUUGGGACCAUGAGAGACUUCGGGGAGGCUGACCUUUGUGGACGGACACGUAAGGGAGCCGCACGACUUAGACAAAACCAGCUAAGUCCAUAACAUUACUGUCACUGAUUUUGCUUUUGCGGACAAAAUUGUCUGCGUAAAAGAUUUGCAAAAGCUAGGUAUCGUGCGUUUUAUAAUUUUGACUUAAUUUUUUUAUUUCAACUAUAUUGCAAAUUUUGGUAAUCCUGUUAUACCAAUCUAGUGUUUUCCACUGCCAUAACAGCUGCUAAUAUUGAUCUUAGGCAUAUGAAUCUUAGUUUUAAUCAUCUUUAUUAAAGGCAUGAUGAUGAAAUAAAUGCAUAGGUAGGCAAUGAGUUAUCUAGGCCAAAUGUCCUAAACAAACUCAGUGAUCACAUAGUUCAUUUUAAAAGUUGAAUACAAAAGACUUAACAAUACCUUUUUUUUUUCAAUCCAGAUUGUUGAAGUCGUGUUAAGAUUCCUUCCUAAACUUGAAGAAUGGCUGAUUCGAUGUAUCCGCAUUGUGUAAAUACAUUGUGUAAAGAAUAACAAAAGAGUCCCCCUAAAAAAUGCUUCAAAAACAGAAGAUUAAAAGAGGUUUAGAUUCAGACUCGUGGCUUAUCCUGGAUUCAGCUAGACCUAACUUUGACCCAAUCCUUUGAUCUUUACUUGCACAGUGAUGUGAAAGGAGAUCCAUAUAGUAGUUGCAAACGAAGGCUUAAUUUUGUUGUUCAACAUGAAACAAGUAAGGCCAUUAUGUGUAGGUGCAAAUGUGUAUUUUAUUUUAUAGGUUAUACAAACGUGGAGUUUAUGUUACAGAUUAUCUGUGAAGUUCACUUCUUGCUAUAAUAAGUGCACGUUGUUGAAUUUUGAGGUAGAGGUAUCAUUGCUGAUAAUUGAGAAGAUUAAGAUCGCCAUAGACUAUUAAUGGAGUAGGUCUAGUUGGAUCAUGUAUAGGAUUCGGAUUGUAAUAUUCUUUUUGAUUCCUGGAAAAACCUGAAUAUUUACAAAGUCAGGAGAAAGUAGGGAACACGAACUGGUUUUAGAAUUUAGAUGAUUGGAAUGAAAACCGUAAAAAAAGGGAAAAAAUUUUAAAUGGAAGUUUGAAAGAUGGCCUUGAUGCUUGAAAAUAUAUUAUUUCUCACUUUAGUUAUUGACCAAAAGGGGCAAUAGAGUAGGGUUUGUAGGGUUUGUUAUUGACCAAAAGGCAUAAUAUAUUGUUAGUAUCGAGUUAGAAUUAUAGCAUAGCCUUUUUGACCAAUAAUCAUCCUCAAAUACCUUGGUUCCAUUUUAGGUUGUGAAUUUAAGAGUUUUUUUUGGCAGUUAGAAUUUCAAAAUGUGAUGAUUUAUGAUUUAUAUUGAAGUGCAUUGCUUUAAUGUCUGGGAAUGAUGCUGCUAGACCUCCAUCCAAAUACUUGAAUCUAGGUAUUGCAGGACAUCUGGAGCUUCAAAUAAUGAAAGGACAAAGGAAUCAUUUAAUUCUUAACCAAAGGCCAGGAUGUCACUACCUAUAUAUAUGUAAGCUAUGGUGGAAGUUCAAACGUGCAAAAUUUUACUAUUUGGCAGGGUUCGUCAGACAAGUUCCAAAAGAUCGGGGAAGUAUUUUUAAUGUUUUCUUAUAGCACUUGAUAACUUUAAAUCAUAGCUUGUUCAGGCCUAACUUAUUAUUGUUUCUCAUGGAAGGAAGCCUGGUUUUAUUUUUUCUGAAAUGCAGCUGGAGAUUUGAACAUUUAGUUUUACUUUGUUCAUCCAAUCCAGUGACAUUUACUGCGUUUGAUUUUUCUUGUAGUAAAUGAAUUUUGUUACACUAGUUUUAUGUUUUCCAAUUCAUUCUUCAUCCCUGUCUAACUUUCCAUAAUGUUUAUUCUCAUUUAUCAUUAUUCAUUUUUUUCCA